rnacentral:rRNA from 1 species
AUACGUAGGGGGCGAGCGUUGUCCGGAAUGAUUGGGCGUAAAGGGCGCGUAGGCGGCCGCUUAAGUCUGGAGUGAAAGUCCUGUUUUCAAGAUGGGAAUUGCUUUGGAUACUGGGGGGCUUGAGUGCAGGAGAGGUUAUCGGAAUUCCCGGUGUAGCGGUGAAAUGCGUAGAGAUCGGGAGGAACACCAGUGGCGAAGGCGGGUAACUGGACUGCAACUGACGCUGAGGCGCGAAAGUGUGGGGAGCAAACAGGAUUAGAUACCCUGGUAGUCCACACGGUAAACGAUGAAUGCUAGGUGUAAGAGGUAUCGACCCCUUUUGUGCCGGAGUCAACACAAUAAGCAUUCCGCCUGGGGAGUACGGCCGCAAGGUUGAAACUCAAAUGAAUUGGCGGGG